UACGUAGGUGGCAAGCGUUGUCCGGAUUUAUUGGGUUUAAAGGGUGCGUAGGCGGCUUAUUAAGUCAGUGGUGAAAUACUCUAGCUCAACUAGAGGGGUGCCAUUGAUACUGAUGAGCUUGAGUACAGAUGAGGUAGGCGGAAUUGACGGUGUAGCGGUGAAAUGCUUAGAUAUCGUCAAGAACACCUAUAGCGAAGGCAGCUUACUAGGCUGUAACUGACGCUGAGGCACGAAAGUGUGGGGAUCAAACAGC
rnacentral:rRNA from 1 species